GGACCAGCCUUUCCAAAAUCAUGCUUAUUAGAGGAUCGGAUUGAGUCGGAUAGUUAUACACCAACAUCAACAAAUAUAGUUGAUUGUAACUACUAUACAUGUAUGAGUAAGUUCAAAUAUAGUUGGCCAUAGCUAAUUUAUGGUUCGUUAUAAGUUUAUUAGUCCACCAUCAAUACAUAUUGUUACUUGCAUGAAAUUAAAUUUAUCCCAUAUA
rnacentral:lncRNA from 1 species